rnacentral:lncRNA from 1 species
CCCCGCAACAGGUUCUACUGCCCCACCGUCGACGUCGACUGCUUCUGGUCCCUCGGCCACGACAACAUCAAGGAUCCCGCCACAGCUUGUGACGACAGCUCUGCCCUCUUGACCGAUAUCAUCCCGCCUUGCUACUCCAAAGUAGUUAGGCUCUCAGACGAAAGAAAGAUGCUGUCCUUUCGACAGGAUGGAGCCCCGAAGGAAGAGUAGGGGGUUUAAAUAG